rnacentral:tRNA from 1 species
UGCCAUAGCCAAGUGGUAAGGCAAAGGUCUGCAAAACCUUUAUUCAUCGGUUCAAAUCCGAUUGGCA